rnacentral:rRNA from 1 species
GAUGAACGCUGGCGGCGUGCCUAAUACAUGCAAGUCGAGCGAACGGAUGAGAAGCUUGCUUCUCUGAUGUUAGCGGCGGACGGGUGAGUAACACGUAGAUAACCUACCUAUAAGACUGGGAUAACUUCGGGAAACCGUAGCUAAUACCGGAUAAUAUUUUGAACCGCAUGGUUCAAAAGUGAAAGACGGUCUUGCUGUCACUUAUAGAUGGAUCCGCGCUGCAUUAGCUAGUUGGUAAGGUAACGGCUUACCAAGGCAACGAUGCAUAGCCGACCUGAGAGGGUGAUCGGCCACACUGGAACUGAGACACGGUCCAGACUCCUACGGGAGGCAGCAGUAGGGAAUCUUCUGCAAUGGGCGAAAGCCUGACGGAGCAACGCCGCGUGAGUGAUGAAGGUCUUCGGAUCGUAAAACUCUGUUAUUAGGGAAGAACAUAUGUGUAAGUAACUGUGCACAUCUUGACGGUACCUAAUCAGAAAGCCACGGCUAACUACGUG